AUGACGACCCCCAGCCAUUAUAAGAUGUGCUUGUUGUACCUAUCCAUUUUCCCCCAAGAUUCCAAAAUCCGGAGAACAAGCUUAGUCAGAAGAUGGGUUGCUGAAAACCUGAUCAUCAGAACACAUGAGUUGACUGCAUUGGAUCAUGCUGAGCGUGCAUUCAAUGCGCUCGUUGCACGAGGCCUUGUUCUUCCCUGUGAACUUGGCCCUGAAGGCAAAGUCAAGUUUUGUAAGGUACAUCCUCAUGUUUGCUCCUUCAUUGCUAAGAUGGCACGUGAAGAGAAUGUUGGGAACACAGGCCUGCUGCCUGAGUUUGCACACUGCCUUUCCAUUCGCAAUGGAAUUCAACUCCAACAACUCCCCAAGAAGAGACAAGCCACAUAUCUCAACACAUGCUGCUGGAGACCCCAGAAGCCCCCUGCCAGUAUCAAGGAUCCCUUGUAUGCCAUGGUAACAUUUCUGAAUUCGCUGCUCGCAUCUUCUCAAUUAGGAUUGGUCAAAGUGCUGGACCUAGAAGGUUGCAAUGGAUUAAAGAAGCAGAACCUCAAGAUAAUCUGCAACAAGCUAUUUCAGCUCAAGUAUCUCAGUCUAAGGAACACAGACCUUACUGACCUGCCCAAGGAGAUUGACAAGCUCAGGUACCUGGAGACAUUUGACAUCAGGCAAACCAAGAUACGAUCAUUCCCUACAAAAGCCAUUGGUAUGCUCCAAAAGCUAGUGCAUCUGCUUGCAGGUCACACCGGGCUAGAUGAGUCACUUUCCACUGUUCAUAUCCCUCAUGGAAUAGGGACCAUGACAAACAUGCAGAUACUAUCCCAUGUUGAAGUUUCCAAGAAAGGUGAUGAGCAUUAG
rnacentral:rRNA from 1 species